AGACUUGUAGGAAUCACAGUAACAGUGGAUAACCUGACUGAAAUCUUAGGAGGAACUUGGGUCAGUUUGACACCGAACCAGAGAACGUGUGUUUGGGCCUUUCUGCCACAAGG
rfam:Myotis lucifugus cont2.7755, whole genome shotgun sequence.